rnacentral:lncRNA from 1 species
UGGCUGAAUGGAUACUCCUCUAGUGAAUUGUUUUCUAUAAUUCAGAACCUGGAAUGCUACCUGCAGAUUAUGGAAGAUGGUAAAAUUCAUAACCUGGCAAAAGGGAAAAUAUUCACAUAAUUCUCUCGGCAAGAAACCAAAUCAAACUAUUCUUUUUAAUUGCAGGCUUUCUUCUUCGCAGAUGGCAGAGGACAAUAUGCUGGGUCUGCAAUAACACUGACUCAAAAUUCCUUUCUAUUUGUAAGAUAACUUCCUAAAGAUUGCAAGCAAAAGGAAGUCAGAGAACAAAGCAAUGUCAAGUAUGCACAUGUCACAACACAAUAUGCUGAUUCCAAGCCUUUGGAAACAUGCUGAAAGACAUGUCUGGAAAAAAAAAAAAAAAAACAACAGGGAAGUGCUUCCACACAGGCUUUCAGCAUGAAAACAACAGCUGAAUGUGCCCGUUCCCAUCAGGAAAAAAUACCCUGAAAUAACAAAAGGUGCUGGAGAGCUAGAAGUGAAAUCAUCAGAUGGCAAGAACCCUCUUUUGUCUGCUCUUACAUAGGCUCUACUCCCAGUGCAUAGUAAAGCAAGGGAUCAAGCUGGAGCAGUGUUUGACUGCAAGGUGCCAAGAAGACCAAGAAAAAUGGAAUGUAUAAACAGGGCUCUCUUACAGUGAAGGACUAACAGAACAAAACAGGAGGAAAGCAAACAAAGGGCCACACUUUCAGAUAAUGUAUCUGCAGGAAUGCAAACUCUGUGCAUUCCUGAUCACUCCUGUAGGUACUGAAGGCACAAAAGACAGACUCUUGAGGAGAAGGGGCAUACACAGUGUUUCUUUGUGAAACAGCCUGCACACAUUUCCCCCCCCAUAACCACAGGUAAAUCUUUGCAUCAUUGGUGUACUCUAAAGAUGUAAGUGCUUUCAAUUAGGUCUGUCACUGUUGGCUAGCUCAGUCCAAUUUUCUGUCAAUUUAAGAGAUGGAGUGGAGUAAAUUCCAGAGGAAAAUUAUGGGAUCCCAGUGAGGGACGACAUGCACAAUGAAACACUGCAGGCAUCUGACUAAGGAUGCUACAAAAUAUCACCUCCACAGGCAGAGGGAUAUCCUGCCUAAAUUCAAAUGAAGCAGCACCCAUGAAUGAAUAAUAACAUGCCUAGGCAUUUUUCUUUUAAAACCGAGAGAGGGAAAUAAAAACUAUCCCAAGUUUUUUC